rnacentral:rRNA from 1 species
UGGGGAAUAUUGGACAAUGGGCGCAAGCCUGAUCCAGCCAUGCCGCGUGGGUGAUGAAGGCCCUAGGGUUGUAAAGCCCUUUCGGCGGGGAAGGCCUCGGGAUAACACCUCUGGGUCUUGACCUAACCCACAGAAAAAGCACCGGCUAACUCU